AAUGAACGUUGGCGGCGUGGAUUAGGCAUGCAAGUCGAGCGCGAACCCCGCAAGGGGUGAAAGCGGCGAAAGGGAGAGUAACGCGUGGGUAUCUGCCCUCGGGACUGGGAUAGCUGCGGGAAACUGCAGGUAAUACCAGAUGACGUCCCCGGACCAAACGUGUGAUUCCGCCUGAGGAUGAUCCCGCGUCCUAUUAGCUAGUUGGUAGGGUAAUGGCCUACCAAGGCAAUGAUGGGUACUGGGUGUGAGAGCACGACCCAGCUCACUGGGACUGAGACACUGCCCAGACACCUACGGGUGGCUGCAGUCGAGAAUCUUCGGCAAUGGGCGAAAGCCUGACCGGGCGACGCCGCGUGUGGGAUGAAGGCCUUCGGGUUGUAAACCGCUGUCAGAGGGGAGGAAUGGGCGGAGGGUAAUCUCUUCGUUUUGACCUAUCCUCAGAGGAAGUACGGGCUAAGUUCGUGCCAGCCGCCGCCGUAA
rnacentral:rRNA from 1 species